CGAAUCAAGGGAAGCGUGCCGGUGCAGGCAAGAGACCACCGUAAGCGUCGUUGCAACCAAUUAAGCGCCGAUUCCAAUCAGCGCGACUUCGCACUCGCUGCAUAAGCGACUGUGAGUCUGUCAGACCGGGAGCGCCCUCGGCCCGGACCCUGGCAUCAGCUAGAGGGACCCACCCACGGGUUCGGUCGCGGAAUCCGUGGGGACAUCAAACAGCGACUGGGAUCGUCAUCCUGACUUGUUCGCGUGAUCAGGAGAUCCGAGUAGAGGCAUAGCGAACUGCGCACGGAGAAGCCUCGAGGGAAUGCC
rnacentral:misc_RNA from 1 species